AGAGCGAACGCUGGCGGCAGGCCUAACACAUGCAAGUCGAACGGACCCUUCGGGGUUAGUGGCGGACGGGUGAGUAACACGUGGGGACGUGCCUUUUGGUUCGGAAUAGCUCCUGGAAACGGGUGGUAAUGCCGAAUGUGCCCUUCGGGGGAAAGAUUUAUCGCCAUUAGAGCGGCCCGCGUCUGAUUAGCUAGUUGGUGAGGUAAUGGCUCACCAAGGCGACGAUCAGUAGCUGGUCUGAGAGGAUGACCAGCCACAUUGGGACUGAGACACGGCCCAAACUCCUACGGGAGGCAGCAGUGGGAAUCUUGCGCAAUGGGCGAAAGCCUGACGCAGCCAUGCCGCGUGUAUGAUGAAGGUCUUAGGAUUGUAAAAUACUUUCACCGGUGAAGAUAAUGACUGUAGCCGGAGAAGAAGCCCCGGAUAACUUCGUGCCAAGCAGCCGC
rnacentral:rRNA from 1 species